rnacentral:rRNA from 1 species
UCGAAACCUGCCCAGCAGAACGACCCGUGAACAUGUCUAYUGAUUGUGGGAGUUGGGUAUUGUAUGGUAACUUGCGUGCCAUCUUGCCCCUCGCCCAAGCCAGUGUGCCCUCACUUGUGAGAUGCUCCUGGCUAUAAUAACUAACCCCGGCGCGAAAAGCGUCAAGGAAUACAAGUAUAAAGCACUCGUCCUUGUCCGGUCAUUCGGUACGGGACGUGGUGCCAUGUAGGUAAUAACAAUAAACGACUCUCGGCAACGGAUAUCUCGGCUCUCGCAUCGAUGAAGAACGUAGCGAAAUGCGAUACUUGGUGUGAAUUGCAGAAUCCCGUGAACCAUCGAGUCUUUGAACGCAAGUUGCGCCCGAAGCCUUUUGGCCGAGGGCACGUCUGCCUGGGCGUCACGCAUCGCGUCUCCUCUCAAACAAACUGUAUUUGAGGGGAAGGAGGAUGGCUUCCCGUGCCUCACCGGGCGCGGUUGGCCUAAAUUUGGAGCCCACGGCGAGCAGUUGCCGCGGCGAUAGGUGGUGAACUAGGCUUCGGCCGUGUAAACAGCCCGUUGCGGUGUGCUACGUGAGCUCGUUGGACCCUUUUGCUUUGCCUUGUGCAGUGCAAACCUUUGCGACCCCAGGUCAGGCGGGG